rnacentral:lncRNA from 1 species
UUUUUUUUUUGGCUGCUCUCAUGGCAUGCAGAAGUUCCAGGGCCAAGGAUUGAGCCCACACCACAGCAGUAGCAAUGUUAGAUCCUUGACCUGCUGAGCCACUAAGGAACUCCAAGGCUUUGCAAUUCUAACAGUACCCAGGCGCUGCUGCUGUUAUUGGUUCCAGCCACUCUGCGAAUCACUUCAAAAGAGAUAAACUUCAAAAAUAUUGAGCCUCUCUCAUUAAAGUGGGUAAUCUCUGUCUAGCCCAAGAGUCAGCUUCAAGCCUUUGGCUUGAUUUCAUGUACAUUGUCUCAAUAUUGUUUAUUAUUGCAACUUCAGCCCAAGAAUUCAGAUUUCUCUUAGGAGGAAAUCUGACAGAGGCUCUAAAUUUUUCCUCAAAAUCUCUACUCCCUUUGUCUACAGUGGUAGAAGCUCUGAUAUUUAGCUGAGCACCUGGCUUCCCAGAAUAGUGAUUAUAUUUCCUAGCAAUUUUACACCUAGAUGUGGCCAUGUGACUAAGCUGCAGUCAGUUGUAUGUGGGCAAGAGUGAUAUGUGCCAUGUCUGGGUCAUUCUCCUAAAGGGAAAGGACACCUUCUGUUCUCCUUUUUCCAUCUUGCUGCUCUGAACAUUGAUGUGGUGGGCACCAUUUUGGACCACGGGGAAAAGCCAACCAGAUAUGCUAGAAUAUGAACAGAGAAGAAAACUAGACUCCUGGCAUAACGGAGUUAUCAUACCAUCCUGGACUCCUAGUGACUAAAUUGUUAGGCUAGAAGUAACAACCUUUCUUAAGGCCACUGUUAUUUUGAGUCAAUGACACAGAAGCCCAACUGAUAUUCUAACUAAUGCCAGAGGAUACUGUGACUCUUCUAUUUACUGGAAAGAGCCUCUGAAGAUAUUUCAGGAUACAGAACCAUGAAAGAGCUUGGAAGAACAGCACAGAGACCUUUUCUUUGUUUUGUUGAGUUUCUCAUUUCUGUAUAUUCAGAAAGAAGAUGAUGUUCCCACUUUAAAAAAUAAUUAUGAAAAAAGUGUAGGGUAAAGCUGAUGGAGAAAAAAAGUCUUAAGAGCUUAAUGUUAAUCCAGAUCAAAUCUCAGAAAAAUAGGAUCUGAGUACAGUAUUUGUACUAUUUAUAUUCUUUUCAGGCCAAGAGCAGUACUUAUAAGGUAAACUUACAGAAUUGUCAAAGGAAGGAAAUAUCAUAGUCUUUGUGUACCUUGAACUGAGGAAAAAAUGGAUAUAAAGUCUUUUAUGAUAGCUUUGUGGCUAAAACAGAAAAAUGAGGGUUGGAGUUCACUUGGUUAAACAGAAUUGCAUCUGAUUGGUCAACUAUACUUCAUAUGUUGAUCCAUGGUGCCAUUCUAACUAAAUGUAUGAUUCAAGUCGUGUUUGAUUGUAAAGCCCAGAAAACCCAAUAGUGGGUUAAGCAAUAAAGACACAGUUAUUUCUCAUAACAAGAACUCUAGAGAUAGGCAUAAUAGCCUCGUUCAGGAGUUUCUCCAUCUUCAUACUGCCUCAGCCUUCAUGAGGAUCACCUCAAGGUCACAGGAUAGCUUCUAUGGCUCCAGGCGUCACAAUCACAUUCAAAGGCAGAAGUAAUGGAGUAAUCAGUGUUAAGAGAACACAUCUUAGAUUGACCUUGCUUUUUUUUUUUUUUAUAAAUGGGAGCAGAAUAUUUCCCCACACUCUUUCCUCCUUGUGGAAGUCCCUUUGUGUCUCACCACUUACAGGGAAGCUAGCAUAUUGGGUUUCUGGCUUUUCUAAGACUCUAUGAUUGAGAGACAGCAAGGAAUAAGAAAGUUGGAAGAAAUGCCUAUUGGGUGAGUUGACCAAUUAUGACUACCACACUUUGAAAGAGGUCUUUAGGAGUAUCUGUAGGGUGUAGUGGGGCUAGCAUGAAGGGAUCAUUCAUUAACAACUUGGAAAAAAGGCAUGACUAUCGUGAUUAUAUGUCAUCUUCAAAUGACCCCUGGUGAGGACAGUUAAUAUCUUGAUGACAGAAUACAUUUUCAAAAAUUAUUUUUCUCCAAAGAUAAAAAUUGUAUACCUAAAUGAAAUACACAUCACCUCAGCACAGAGGCAUACCUGGCUUGACAUUGGUUUAUGUGGAAAAAGCCACUGGGGUUUAUGUUGGUCACUGAUUUCAAUCUGAGACACCGAGGAAGCGUAGUGUAUUAAGUUCACAGAAAUAAAAACACAUAAAUUGCUAACUCACUUCCAGAAAAUCUAUCUUUUUGUGUGUGUGUGUGCGUGUGAUUUUAUCUCUAUUUCUAUUAUUCAUUUAUUCAUUUGUUCAGGAUAGUUUCAUCAAAUGUGCAGGAUGUAGUGCCGGGCACAGGACAGACAGCAAUGCACAAAAUAGAAAACAAAUAAGUAUGUAGAGCAGGGUAAUGGGAAAGUGUGAUAAAUCCUACAAAAAUAAAAAGUCAAAGAGACUAAGAAACUGGACAAGUGGAGGUUGUGACUUGGCCUUGGGGAUGCAGGCUAGCUGCUGUGAAAAUGUGAUGAUUCUGCUCAUACUAGGAGGAUGAGGGAAGCUGGCCCAGCAGAUUUCUGGGGAAAAAGUAGGGGCCUGCAGAGAAAAUGAGCCCUUCUGAAGGCGCUGAUGUGGGGAGGAAUAGGGUGAACUGGAGGAAAUGCAAGAGUGGAACUGGGACAAGGUGUGGGAGGCAGCACAUCUCCAGAGGUGAGGCUGCAGAAUCGGGCCAAGGUGGGCUGUGUGGGCCAUGAUAGGAUGUCAAUCGUUAGAAUGCAUUGCUUUGCUCUGUAGAGACCUUGCCUGGCUGGUGUGUACAGAAUGAGCUGGAGGGCCAAGAUAGAUGCAGAGAAACUGGCUAGUAAGGUAUUGCCCUUUCAGACAGAGAGAUGCUGGCAGCUUGGACUUUGGGAGUAGGAGAGAUUUCAGAGUAGGAGAUGGAGUGGAUGUGAGGUGAGGGAGAGGGAGGUUUCAAGACUGACUCACGUUCUGACUUUUAAAAUUGAGUGGAUGGGACCUGCACUCACUGAGAACAGGUUACCGAAAGUGGGACCAGCUGCUCACCGCUCAGAAGCCAAUAAAAAGGCAAGGUUAGUGGAAAAGAAAGUUGGCUUUAUUUUAGAGGCUGGCAAGUGGGGGGCAGGGGGUAGGGACACAUGCUCAAAAGCCAAUUCUGCCCGCUAACAAUUAGUGGGCAAGAACUUUUAUAGGCAGAGGAAGGGGGCUACAUAGAGAAACAGCAAGUCACCUCUGACAGCCACCUUUUUAAAAAAUUUUUUUAUUGAAGUAUAGUUGAUUUAUGAUGUACUAAUUUCUUCUGUACAGCAAAGUGACUCAGCUAUACAUAUAUAUUCUUUUCCAUUGUGGUUUAUCACAGGAUAGUGAAUAUAGUUCACUGGGCUACAUAGCAGGGCCUUCUUGUUUAUUCAUCCUGUAUACAAUAAUUUGCCUCUGCCAAUCCCAAACUCUCAAUCCCUUCCUUCCUCCCUCGCGCCCUCCCCCUUAGCAACCACAUCUCUUCUAUAUGUCUCUGAUCUGUUUCUGCUUUGUAAAUAGGAUCAUCUAUGCCAUAUUUUAGAUUCCACAUAUGUGAUGUCAUACGGUAUUUCUCUGUCUUUCUGACUUCCUUUGCUUAGUAUGAGAAUCUCUAGUUGCAUCCAUGUUGCUGCAAAUGGCAUUAUUUCACUCUUUUUGGUGGCUGAGUAAUAUUCUAUUGUACAUAUACCAUAUCUUCUUUAUUCCUUCAUCUGUCGAUGGAUGUUUAGUUUGCUUCCAUGUCUUGGCUAUUGUAAAUCAUGCUAUUAAUAUACUGGUGCAUGCAUCUUUUCAAAUUGUCGUUUUGACAGCCAUCUUAAAAUUGGUCAUGCGGUGGUCUGAUUAGCUUCAUCUUGAUUGUUUUAAGUACAGUUAGCCUUCAGGGUUGGUUUGCUCCCAUUUCUUUGAGGCCAGUUUUCAGAAUUACAGCAGCUUAUG